AAAAAAUCAACAAUAGUGACAUUAACAACAAUAGCUUAUCACGGUCCUUUCCCUCAAGAACCCUAACCCCAAAUCUAUUUCCCUUCAAUCUUACUUAUCUCUUUAUCCCACUACAAUCCUCACAUGCCAGUAUGAGGAUUGUAUAUUGUAGUUUCUAAAAAAAGUGACGCAUUGCUCUCUUACUUAUUCAUUCAAAUUGCCAUAUUCAAAUUUUAAAUUCUAAAAUUUAUGCAAAUUUCUAGCUAUAUCCUUAUCCAGUACGAAUCUGCUACAACCAUGGUCUGAUUCAAUCAUUCUCUCACAGUCAUAGGAUUUCAGAUGAUGAAUUUAUCCUACAUAAAAAAAUUCUCAAGAAUUUAUGGAUUUUGGGUUCUAUAUAAAUCCUUCUUGCUCCACUAUUUCUAGGAUAGUUUUGGAACCCAAAAAAGAGCAAAAAUAUUUAAACGUUUGUCUCUAGCCUGGAGUUGUGAGAAUUUUGACUCCUCUUUUUAAUUUUCUUUCCUGUUCUCAUGUUAAGGACAAAAGAGGUGGAAGUUGAUCUUUCAACUCGUUGUCCUAAGUUCGUUGCUCAAGAAAAGGUAAACUUUCCUUCCCUUUUGUAUUUUUAUUGCUACGGGUGGCUUUUGAUAUAUUUUAAUAUCAGAAUAAAAUUUAGGGUGAUUAUUUGUGUUUAGAUGUAGGUUUUAUUUUCCAUUUGUUGCUUCUAUUUUAGUAAAUAAAUUUUGAAGUUAUGUGAUAAACCAUUUAGUUUACCUUAAAGAGAUAUUAUGGAGAAACUAAUAUGAUAUUUUGUUGGAUGCUUUCUGUUCUUGUUACUCUUGUGAAUUUUAUUUUAAUCGUGUUCUAGUUCUUAUAUCACACUAUUUUGUUAAAUAUAAAUUUAUCCUCGUUUAAGUAUCAUUCUCUUAUUUUAGGCCAAAUUGUUAAAUUUUUUUAAGGCUAGCACCUACAAUUUGUUUGAUGUAGCGACUAAUUUAAUCCUAUCUUUAGAUUAGUUUAAAAACGGCAUCUUGAUUGGAGGAAUAAUCAAUAUGUUCUCUUAUCAUUGAUGUUCUGUCAAUUUACACUCGGCCAAAGCCAAAUGAUUUAAGAUCAAUGAUGUAUUAAAGAUGUAUGUGACUUUCUUAUUUUUGUGCAAGUUAGAAGUUUAGUUUUAGUUCAUUCUCUCAUUUUGAUUUCCACCUCUAUACUUGGAGCUCAUUAAUCAUUAUGAGUAGUAGUUUUUUUAUUUGAGCCUUCAACUCAACGAAUUUGUAGUCUAUGUUUGGUUGGGUGAUUCAUGUGAAUUAGUUGUGACGUUUAUCUAGUUCCUUGACAGUUAUUGGUAGUAUAGAAUAGUAUAAUUCCUCUUGCUUAUUUAAGUUCAAAAAGGUGUAUCUUGAAAUAAAUUUAUUGCUCACACUUUGUGUCACAACCUGAACUAAGGCCUGACCAUGAUGGGUAUCUCAAGUCCAACAAGGAUCGGAGACUACCCCCUGCACCUAACCAAAUAGAACACAAUACCCCCAAAACCAAAUGAAUUUCAAACAUAUAACAAGAUAGAAUAAGAUAAGCUCAAAGAAUUUAAGUUAUGUCUAUAAUCCAAUAUUCGAUAACCAACCAAAACGACCAACUAAUAUCACCCAAGUCCACAGUAAUCCACAAAGUAUUCUUAAAAAAACUAAAAUCAAUAAAGUGUUGGGAUAUUCCCUUGACCCUAACAAUGACAACAUUAAUGAUAAUGUAAACUCUUAGAUCUAAUCUAAGAAAAGAAACUGAUGAAAUGUCCAAGUCUUCUAGAGAAUGAAAGCUCGCCACUUCAACACCAACGACCGAUGAACUGAUCCGAUUCACCUAACACUAUGCAUAAAAAAGUAGAGGUAUCCCUAAUUCCAACAUCACGUGGGAUACAUCAUCCGAAGAUGAUUAAUGGGUUGAGCACUAGCAUGUAACUCAAGGAUAGGGAUAAAAUAAAUCCAAGUCAAAUCUAUUCAAAACCCAUGUGAACACCAUCAUAUACAUACAUAAAUAAUAUGUAGGGNNNNNNNNNNNNNNNNNNNNNNNNNNNNNNUGGAUUAUGUAGCUCAACGAUCAUAAUAUAAGAAAAUACCCACGGGUUAUAUGGGUCCAGCUCUUCCCUAACUGGAAGGCCCAGUGUAUGUAGGCAGACGAACUAGAUGAUAUACAUGUACACCAUGGGGGACUCAAACCUCCCAGCAUAUCAAGGAGACUUAAGCACCCAAUCAUGUGAUAUAAUAUGGGGGACUCGGAACCUCCCAAUCAAAUAAUAAUAAUAAAGAGGACUUGAACCACCUGGUCAGUUAAAUCCCUACGUCGGCAAUCAGAGUUUGCAAUAUUGGUCUCUUGGGACCUCUACUUUCACGACUCAGCUACACAACCCUCAUUAAAGCCCAAGUAAAUCAUUUAUCAUGCAUUCCCAUUCAUUGAACCAUAAUACACAUUUAGGCAUACACUAUUGGUAUCAUCAUACCAACUACACUUGUAAGGUAAUAUCUACAUACCAAACCAAUUAUAAUUACUUGGGGAAUUCAUAACCCCCUUGGUUCAAUUAUACAUUAUCUUGGGGAAUUACACAAUCUCAUACGGUUCAAUUCAAAAUAAUUAUACUUUAUUCACUUUUCACAUUAUGCAAUAGAUAAGUAGUAGUUAUAUGUGCAUAUUUUUGGUAUUCAAGACCAAUUUUCAUAAUAUAGAAUUGAGGUCAUUACCAAUUUAAUUGUCAAUAUUCACAAAAUUUGGAGAGUUCACAAUCCCCUAGUUUAUUCACCAGACCCAUGCAUCAAACUAAUUUCAAAACAACCAUUUAAAAUAUAACCAAUGCAUAUACAAACAUGAAACAUCACAUAGACAACAAUCAUUCAAAACUCUCAGCCCAUAUUCAAAACCAACAUAAAUAAAAUAUGAAUAAUACUUUAAAUCACAUGAUUUUAAAAAAGUAACAAUUUGGGAAGAGUAACAUGCCUGAAGGGUUCUCAAUUAUGGAGAAGAAACCUUGAAUUGACCCCUUGAUGCUCAACCUUGAGGAAACCCUAGCUUGUUUGCUUAAAGGAACUUAACAGAGUAAAGAGAGUUCUUGAUUUUUUAAAGUGUUAAAAUAAUACCCUAAAGGAGCCUUAUAGAUGUGGGGUAUAUGUGGCUAAAGAGAAAAAUGUCCAAACUACCCUCAACUUAAAACUGACAAAUUGUCGUCAGUGAUUACGGGUCACACGACGACUCGUAACGACACGUUACAACUCAUUACCACUAGUUGUAGCCAAGAUAGUGUCAUCAGGCACACAUAAUGUUUACCCCACAACUUGCAUUAUAUGACUCAUUAGGGGACCCAAUGACCCAUUGGGUCCUAUUCGUCACCAGGACACCAACAUUUGGAACAUACACUAGCUUGACUAUGGUUAGAACAUCACGACUCGUAAUGAAUUCAUACGAAUCAUUGUGAGUCACUUGUACUCAGAGUAGAAAAAUUAACCAUACACAUUGGUUAGCCUAUGAUUUGGAUCCUUACGACUCGUUAAGACUACCUAUGACUCGUAAGGGGAAUCGUAGUCAGGACAAUAAGGAUAAAAUUUCAGAAAUUUUCAAGGGCUAAAAAUCUGUGGUGUUACACAUUGUUGAGUUCUUGUCCUAAUUUGAUCCAAAAUAGAGUCAUAAUUUCUAUAGUUUCUUAAAAUGAUUUGAGAUGAUCACUCUAUUUUAUAUCUUUGAGAUGCUUAGUUGUUCACUUUGAACAAUAGAGAUUUAAAUAAAGAAAUUUAACUACUGUUUUAGGUUUAGCUUAAAGAAAUUUAUUUGGAUAUUAGUUGAAGUAACUAGUCACUCUUGGUUCCCUUUCGAGAUUAACUCGUCUAAAAAGCAAUAAACAUAUUAGUUUUGUUUUGACAAAAUGUCAUAGACUUUGGAAAGUCUCUUUUGAGUAAUUGGUCAUAAUUAUUUCUAUAAUGUUUGGUGUAGGAUAAAUCUAAGGGUUUUUAAUUUGAUCAUAAUAGAAUAUUUAUUAGCUGGAAUUACUAGAUAUCUUAUUUUGUUUAAGCCUUAGACUUUCUGAUGCUUUAUGAUCUUUUUACCUAGCAAUUUUGUAAAGGCAGUGUAGUUGCUUGUAAACUAAGUGUAGAAUUUUAGUGUGUUGUAUGGGAUGGAUAUCUAUAUUUCCAUUAAUAUAUUCAGGAAUAUAAUUUUUCAUCUUACUUGAUUAGUUGUUUAACAUUUUAUUAGGAGACCGACUGCAUAGUUACUAAUUCUUAUCUUCUUUUUUUCUCGCAUAUGAUUCUGGACGAGUCCAUUUGAACUCCCAUUUUUCCUGAAUUCUCUCAUCUCCGAGUCAAACCUCAUCCAAGUGAACAAAAAGAGGCAAGUACAUUGCCGAAAGCCUGAAAAAUAAGUAGCAACAGAGCAAGAAAAUAGGCUUAUACAGCUUACAAAAUUGAUACAAUGCUGUAGCAGGACACGAAGAGCAGAAAUGGGAGUUGAAGCCCAAUUAUUUUACUGUUUUGUUUAUUUGAUCACUCUUUGAUAUUUGUUUCUAACACUUUAGCAUGAACUUAGAUGAAUCCCUACAGUGGUUUAACUCAUUUUCAAGUUUUACUUUAGAAGUAUGGUUUUCAUUACUCACUAUUUUGUGUGAUUCUGAAUAUUCAAUCUUAGGCAAACCUAAGCUUGGAAUAAAUUUAGGAUUCGCUUAUAUCCUUUUGUAGCUGUUAAUAGCUUAAAAUUCAUGCUUAAAAAGUUUUAUUAUAAUUUAACUCAAAGUCUUUACCCGAAUAUAAAAUAGUUAAAUUAGAAUUUUUUUGAAAUUUUGAUAUGUUAUUUGUUUCAUUAUUUAGAUUAAGUUAGAAUGUUUAAGUUCCAAAUAUAUUUUAUUCAUUUUAAACAAGAUUAUCCAAAUCAACUCAAAUAUUUUCAAAAUUAGCUAAAUAAGUUGAUUCUCUUGAAAACCACACUUUGUGAAUUUUUGAAAGUACCUAACACUUUUU
rnacentral:lncRNA from 1 species